CUUCAUCAUGUUGUAUUCCAGAAAUGAGUUCCUGUGGUCCCUUAACUUUGGCCAGUCAUUAAAAUCUGGAGUUCAGCCCUUCUUGAUAAAGUUGGCAUCCAGAUUCUUCUUAAAGGUUUGGAAUUGGGUUGCCAUCUUCUUCAGCGUCCAGUCUUUCAGAACUUUUUCUUCGACACUAUCAAGAAGUGUGAAGUGUUUCUUGACAUUUGCCCACAACAUAUCCUUCUGUGUCUGUGGGAGCACGUAUGGAUCAUUUUGUUUACCCUUC
rnacentral:lncRNA from 1 species